rnacentral:rRNA from 1 species
UGGGGAAUAUUGCACAAUGGGCGAAAGCCUGAUGCAGCGACGCCGCGUGAGGGAUGACGGCCUUCGGGUUGUAAACCUCUUUCAGCAGGGACGAAGCGCAAGUGACGGUACCUGCAGAAGAAGCACCGGCUAACUACGUGCCAGCAGCCGCGGUAAUACGUAGGGUGCAAGCGUUGUCCGGAAUUACUGGGCGUAAAGAGUUCGUAGGCGGUUUGUCGCGUCGUUUGUGAAAACCAGCAGCUCAACUGCUGGCUUGCAGGCGAUACGGGCAGACUUGAGUACUGCAGGGGAGACUGGAAUUCCUGGUGUAGCGGUGAAAUGCGCAGAUAUCAGGAGGAACACCGGUGGCGAAGGCGGGUCUCUGGGCAGUAACUGACGCUGAGGAACGAAAGCGUGGGUAGCGAACAGGAUUAGAUACCCUGGUAGUCCACGCCGUAAACGGUGGGCGCUAGGUGUGGUUCCUUCCACGGAAUCCGUGCCGUAGCUAACGCAUUAAGCGCCCCGCCUGGGGAGUACGGCCGCAAGGCUAAAACUUAAAGGAAUUGACGGGGUCAUAGCUGUUU